CACGUAGGGGGCGAGCGUUGUCCGGAUUCAUUGGGCGUAAAGGGCGCGCAGGCGGCUCGGAAAGUCGGGUGUGAAACCUGGGGCUUAACCCCGGGCCUGCAGUGGGUACGGGCAGACUAGAGUGUGGUAGGGGAGACUGGAAUUCCUGGUGUAGCGGUGAAAUGCGCAGAUAUCAGGAGGAACACCGGUGGCGAAGGCGGGUCUCUGGGCCGGUACUGACGCUGGAGGUGCGGAAAGCGUGGGGAGCAAACAGG
rnacentral:rRNA from 1 species